rnacentral:rRNA from 1 species
CCUACGGGAGGCAGCAGUGGGGAAUAUUGCACAAUGGGGGAAACCCUGAUGCAGCGACGCCGCGUGAGUGAAGAAGUAAUUCGUUAUGUAAAGCUCUAUCAGCAGGGAAGAAAAUGACGGUACCUGAGUAAGAAGCCGCGGCUAACUACGGGCCAGGAGCCGGGGGUCUACGUAGGGGGCAGGCGUUAUCCGGAUUUACUGGGUGUAAAGGGAGCGUAGGCGGCAGUGCAAGUCUGGAGUGAAAGGCGGGGGCGCAACCCCCGGACUGCUGUGGAAACUGUACGGCUGGAGUGCAGGAGAGGUAAGUGGAAUUCCUAGUGUAGCGGUGAAAUGCGUAGAUAUUAGGAGGAACACCAGUGGCGAAGGCGGCUUACUGGACUGUAACUGACGUUGAGGCUCGAAAGCGUGGGGAGCAAACAGGAUUAGAUACCCUUGUAGUC